CCUAAUUCUCUAUCUCUUCACACGGCUUCCUUCUGACCUAAAUCCUUCAGCCGCAUCUAUGUGAUCUCUCCAUCUGAUCGAUCUAUGUGAUCUCUCCAAAUAGUCCAUGAUCUUACUGCUCUUGAUCCUCGGUGUCGAUUUUAGGGUUUUAGCUCUGCUCAGAUGAUGAAGGAGAUGAAGAUGACGACGAUAUUUGCCACCUGCGUCAUUUUAGGAUUUCAUAUUUUCAACUCUCCAGUUUCGUCAUUCUAGGGUUUCAAGUUUGCACAUCUUAUUGGGAUUUCAUUGAGCGUCCAAGAUAUCUUUGUGUGCUACUUGAUGUAGAUGACAUUAACUGUCUCUUGCAGUCAACCCAACCACAAGAUGGAGUGUGAUAUUAGAGUUGUGUUUAGUAAACUCUUUUCCGUUUGGUGUUAAUCAACUGAAUGAAGAACAAAUUUUGUUGCUUGGUGUUAAUGGAGUGAAGAAAAAAGGAUCAUAUUGUCACUUGCAGCUGCUAGAACUAGAAUUUCUACGAUCCCUCGUAAUGGAAUCCCAAAAGG